rnacentral:rRNA from 1 species
AACGAACGCUGGCGGCAUGCCUAACACAUGCAAGUCGAACGAGACCUUCGGGUCUAGUGGCGCACGGGUGCGUAACGCGUGGGAACCUGCCCUUAGGUUCGGAAUAACUCCCCGACAGGGGUGCUAAUACCGGAUAAUGUCUUCGGACCAAAGAUUUAUCGCCUUUGGAUGGGCCCGCGUUGGAUUAGCUAGUUGGUAGGGUAAAAGCCUACCAAGGCGACGAUCCAUAGCUGGUCUGAGAGGAUGAUCAGCCACACUGGGACUGGGACACGGCCCAGACUCCUACGGGAGGCAGCAGUGGGGAAUAUUGGACAAUGGGCGAAAGCCUGAUCCAGCAAUGCCGCGUGAGUGAUGAAGGCCUUAGGGUUGUAAAGCUCUUUUACCCGGGAUGAUAAUGACAGUACCGGGAGAAUAAGCUCCGGCUAACUCCGUG